ACUGCGAUUCACAUGUAUUCGGUGGGUAGAAAUUAGUCGUUUUGGAGUAUACGAGUCGUAACGGGCGCAGAACCCUGAUCUUUGGAUUGGCCAAAGUCGGCAUGGGAAGACGAUGUAAUUGACGUACGGUGGUGCCGUGCGCAUCAAACGCGCUCGAUGUCGAACGUGGAGCGGUCGGUCCUGUUAAAACGCCUACGUGAGCUUUUCUAAACCUGAUACUGCCAUUAUACGCACAUUGAGCAAAUACCAGUUGCAUACCGGAUUUUUUCCCCCUCCUCAUUGCCCUUUGAUCUCAAGAAAAAUAACAAGCAGUUUACAAAGCCAAGUAACAAUUAUCGUCAUUUGCGGAAACAACUUUGUCUCUUUUUGUCAGAGUUGUUGUUGGCAAAGGGUUUUUAUGAGAUCAGGAUAUUGGCGUUUAACAAUGCAUGUUUACGAGUGUUGGUUGAUGGCAAUCCGAUUUAUGCCCAAACACAUCCUUCUUCAAGGCUGUAUUAAUAACUUAGUAUGAACGACAUUCCGGGGUAUGGAUUAAUGGCAUGCUUCUCUUCCUCUCUCCCCUUUGUCACCCAUCUCUUGUUCUUUUCUGCUUUUAUUGCUGUUUCAUCCGUUAUACCAGAAAUUUUUAGUCUAUUAUUACAUUCUUCCUCUUCCAUGCCAACAGUGCCAGAGCAAAAACAAGAGCUAUAUUUAAAAAUUAUGUUGUCAUUCGUAAAUAAUUCCUUAAGUGGUUGUUUUUCAGUUCUGUUUUUUUGUUUUUUUGCGGUCUGUCUUGGAUGCAAAAUGAACACAAGGUUACUGCGAUUACGCCAAGGUUGCAAAAACUCUUUCCUUUUAAAGCGAAAACCAAAAACUCGAAUAGCUUCCCAGAGCAAGUUCAAAUUUUAAUAAUUUCUGAACUUUAAAUUUUAUGUGAUUAAGCGGUUCCACGUCUGCCAUCUUUCGUCGGGCGUUUGAACCACUGGCUGUUACGCGAAUCAACAAUCGCAACCACAAUACGUUAAACGACAUUGCAUUCAAACGGCGAAAAAAUAUCCUCUUUAAACUGGAAUUGUGACGUAGUCGUUUCGUCUACACACUAGAUUGUUAAAAGAAUUUAACCAAUACACAAUAUUAAACCAGA